rnacentral:lncRNA from 1 species
UUCCCGAUCUCUCUCUUCAUAUUGCUCCACCAAAAUGUAUGUCGAAGAUCACAAUACAUUUUGAUACUUCCAGGAUGAAUUGUAGACGGUGUGUUGUGUGCCUCUAUCAUGAUUUUGUACUUCAAAUCAGAUUCGUUAGGAACAUAAAGUCUGGUGUGGACUUGAAGUAUUCAUUCUUCAUCGAUUCUUACUUCUGGAAUAGCA